CAGUCGUACCGACGGAAAAUCAGCUCUUCGAGUGCGAACUUGUGGGCGUACGUGAGUUUUAACCGGCCUCGUUGUUUGCGAUGUUUGUGCUUUUUGGGUGCCGGAAAAUGGCGGGAGGAAUGUGGCAGCUUGUCUGCGUUAUAGCCUCUUGUCGUACACGGUGCGUUGGGAUCGAGGUCUGCAGCACGCCUUUGGGUCGGGGUUCCCCCACGCCACGUGCUUAGGAUGCUGGCAUAA
rnacentral:rRNA from 1 species